AUCGAACGCUGGCGGCAGGCCUAACACAUGCAAGUCGAGCGAGCGGCGGACGGGUGAGGAAUGUCUGGGAACCUGCUGGAUGGAGGGGGAUAACUACUGGAAAAGGUAGCUAAUACCGCACACCAUCCGCUGUGACCCGAUGGGAUUAGCUAGACGGGGGGGUAACGGCUCACCUAGGCGACGAACCCUAGCUGGUCUGAGAGGAUGACCAGCCACUCUGGAACUGAUACACGGUCCAGACUCCUACGGGAGGAAGCAGUGGGGAAUAUUGGACAAGGGGCGAAAGCCUGAGGCAGACAUGCCGCGUGUGGGAAGAAGGCCUUCGGGUUGUAAAGCACUUUCAGCGGGGAGGCGGUACCCGCAGAAGAAGCACCGGCUAACUCCGUGCCAGCAGCCGCGGUAAUUC
rnacentral:rRNA from 1 species